GAAACCGUUCAGGGGUAAACCUGAGAAACCCAAAAGUUCGAAUGGGGAGAUUCAUCGGCAGCGAAGCUGGCUCCCGUUGUUGCGUGAUACCCUGACUUUGGGGCCUUCGUGGUUCCAAUGCGAGGGCACACCAUCUUCGGUGAACGUUCCGGCUAUAUGUAGUCGUGCACUUCUCCCUUAGUAGAACGUCGCGACCCGUUGCGUGUCGGUCUACGGCCCGAGUUGUUUGCCUGGCGCGUCGUCUCGUGCGCACGCGUCAGACACUCGAUCGCCCGGCCGGCUGCGUGACGGUACUCUGACGGUAUCGGGCAGCAACCAAUCCAUUUUCGAAUGUACGUGCGUCAGGCCCGCCGCAAGCUCGGUCAGUUUACCCGGAGGUGUACGGACCUGGUGCCGUCCCCGGGCCUGGCCAGCUGUUUGCAGGCGGUGUCCUUGGACUGGCCAAGCUUCGAAUUACCGGUCGGCGACGCUACUGCUUUGGGUACUCUCAGGACCCGUCUUGAAACACGGACCAAGGAGUCUAACAUGUGCGCGAGUCAUUGGGAUAUAUAAACCUAAAGGCGCAAUGAAAGUGAAGGUCGGCCUUUGCGUCGACCGAGGGAGGAUAGGCCGUGUUACGAUUUACGGCCUCGCACUCCCGGGGCGUCUCGUUCUCAUUGCGAGAAGAGGCGCACCCAGAGCGUACACGUUGGGACCCGAAAGAUGGUGAACUAUGCCUGGUCAGGACGAAGUCAGGGGAAACCCUGAUGGAGGUCCGUAGCGAUUCUGACGUGCAAAUCGAUCGUCGGAACUGGGUAUAGGGGCGAAAGACUAAUCGAACCAUCUAGUAGCUGGUUCCCUCCGAAGUUUCCCUCAGGAUAGCUGGCACUCGCUCGUUCCUACGUUGAACGCAUGCGAGUCUCAUCUGGUAAAGCGAAUGAUUAGAGGCCUUGGGGCCGAAACGACCUCAACCUAUUCUCAAACUUUAAAUGGGUGAGAUCUCUGGCUUGCUUGAAUAUCAUAUGAAGCCACGAGAUUUUGGAUCAGAGUGCCAAGUGGGCCAAUUUUGGUAAGCAGAACUGGCGCUGUGGGAUGAACCAAACGCAGAGUUAAGGCGCCUAAGUCGACGCUUAUGGGAUACCAUGAAAGGCGUUGGUUGCUUAAGACAGCAGGACGGUGGCCAUGGAAGUCGGAA
rnacentral:rRNA from 1 species